UACGUAGGGUGCGAGCGUUGUUCGGAAUUAUUGGGCGUAAAGGGCUCGUAGGCGGUUUGUCGCGUCGGGAGUGAAAACUCAGGGCUUAACCCUGAGCCUGCUCCCGAUACGGGCAGACUAGAGGUAUGCAGGGGAGAACGGAAUUCCUGGUGUAGCGGUGAAAUGCGCAGAUAUCAGGAGGAACACCGGUGGCGAAGGCGGUUCUCUGGGCAUUACCUGACGCUGAGGAGCGAAAGUGUGGGGAGCGAACAGG
rnacentral:rRNA from 1 species